UGUAAACAUCCUACACUCUCAGCUGUGACAACAGGGAGCUGGGAGAGGGGUGUUUACG
rnacentral:pre_miRNA from 1 species